rnacentral:tRNA from 1 species
UCGGGGAUCGUCUAAUGGUAGGACAACAGCCUCUGGAGCUGUGAGUUGGGGUUCGAGUCCCUAUCCCCGAACCA